rnacentral:tRNA from 1 species
UGUAGUGUGGCUCAGCAGGCAGAGCACGUGCCUAGAAUGCAUAAAACCAUGGGUUCAAGUCCCAGCACCAG